rnacentral:rRNA from 1 species
GAUGAACGCUAGCUACAGGCUUAACACAUGCAAGUCGAGGGGCAGCGGUAUCGAAAGCUUGCUUUCGGUAGCCGGCGACCGGCGCACGGGUGAGUAACGCGUAUCGAACCUGCCUCAUACUCGGGAAUAGCCUUGCGAAAGUAAGAUUAAUGCCCGGUGUUUUCAGAGUCCCGCAUGAGGCUUUGAACAAAGAUUUAUCGGUAUGAGAUGGGGAUGCGUCCCAUUAGCUUGUUGUCGGGGUAACGGCCCACCAAGGCAUCGAUGGGUGGAGGUUCUGAAAGGAAAGUCCCCCACAUUGGAACGGAGACACGGUCCAAACUCCUACGGGAGGCAGCAGUGAGGAAUAUUGGUCAAUGGGCGGAAGCCUGAACCAGCCAAGUAGCGUGCAGGAAGACGGCCCUCCGGGUUGGAAGCUGCUUUUAGUUGGGAAUAAAACGGGGCUCGUGAGCCCCCUUGCAUGUACCAUCAGAAAAAGGACCGGCUAAUUCCGUGCCAGCAGCCGCCGUAA